rnacentral:tRNA from 1 species
GCCAGCAUGGUGUAGUGGUUGAACAUUGGACUACAGCUCUGGAGACCAGGGUUUGAGUCCCUGUUCAACCA